UACGUAGGGUGCGAGCGUUAAUCGGAAUUACUGGGCGUAAAGCGUGCGUAGACGGUUAUUUAAGUCAGGUGUGAAAGCCCCGGGCUCAACCUGGGAAUUGCAUUUGAGACUGAAUAGCUAGGGUGCGGAAGAGGGAAGCGGAAUUUCUGGUGUAGCGGUGAAAUGCGUAGAUAUCGGAAGGAACACCAGUGGCGAAAGCGGCUUCCUGGUCCAGCACCGACGUUCAGGCACGAAAGCGUGGGGAGCAAACAGG
rnacentral:rRNA from 1 species